UACAGAGGGUGCGAGCGUUAAUCGGAAUUACUGGGAGUAAAGCGUGCGUAGACGGCUAUCUAAGUCGGGUGUGAAAGCCCCGGGCUCAACCUGGGAAUUGCAUUCGAGACUGAAUAGCUAGGGUACGGUAGAGGGAAGUGGAAUUUCCGGUGUAGCGGUGAAAUGCGUAGAUAUCGGAAGGAACAUCAGUGGCGAAAGCGACUUCCUGGACCAGUACCGACGUUCAGGCACGAAAGCGUGGGGAGCAAACAGG
rnacentral:rRNA from 1 species